rnacentral:rRNA from 1 species
UGGGGAAUAUUGGACAAUGGGGGCAACCCUGAUCCAGCCAUGCCGCGUGCGUGAAGAAGGCCUUAGGGUUGUAAAGCGCUUUCACUGGUGAAGAUGAUGACGGUAGCCAGAGAAGAAGCCCCGGCUAACUCCGUGCCAGCAGCCGCGGUAAUACGGAGGGGGUUAGCGUUGUUCGGAAUUACUGGGCGUAAAGCGCACGUAGGCGGACUGUUAAGUCGGGGGUGAAAUCCCGGGGCUCAACCCCGGAACUGCCUUCGAUACUGGCAGUCUAGAGUUCGAGAGAGGUGAGUGGAAUUCCGAGUGUAGAGGUGAAAUUCGUAGAUAUUCGGAGGAACACCAGUGGCGAAGGCGGCUCACUGGCUCGAUACUGACGCUGAGGUGCGAAAGUGUGGGGAGCAAACAGGAUUAGAUACCCCGGUAGUCC